rnacentral:rRNA from 1 species
UGGGGAAUAUUGGACAAUGGGGGGAACCCUGAUCCAGCCAUGCCGCGUGUGUGAAGAAGGCCUUAUGGUUGUAAAGCACUUUAAGCGAGGAGGAGGGUACUGGUAUUAAUACUACCAGGUACUGGACGUUACUCGCAGAAUAAGCACCGGCUAACUCUGUGCCAGCAGCCGCGGUAAUACAGAGGGUGCGAGCGUUAAUCGGAUUUACUGGGCGUAAAGCGUGCGUAGGCGGCUAAUUGAGUCGGAUGUGAAAUCCCCGAGCUUAACUUGGGAAUUGCAUUCGAUACUGGUUAGCUAGGGUGUGGGAGAGGAUGGUAGAAUUCCAGGUGUAGCGGUGAAAUGCGUAGAGAUCUGGAGGAAUACCGAUGGCGAAGGCAGCCAUCUGUCCUAACACUGACGCUGAGGUACGAAAGCAUGGGGAGCAAACAGG